rnacentral:piRNA from 1 species
UUCCAAGUUGCGCUGCAUCUUCCUGGUU